ACGCGGGAUUUUUCACUCGAUCCUAAUUCCACAUCUUUUCUCCGACCCGGGGGGGGGGGGCAGCAGGAGGAGGGAACCCGAGGAAUCUCCACCCUCUGAGGAGUGGAGGGCCUGAUCCUUUCAAGCAAAGGAACUUCACUGGCGGUGACACCGAGCUGUGCUGUCCUCGACCCACAGCCUGAGAUGGAUCUCAGGACAACCCUAAACUUCCAAGCUGCAGACACCAGCACUCCCUCCGCAGUGCGUCUGGAACCCUCCCCUGAAAUCUGCCGCAGCGAACAGCAGCGAGCCUGGGAUUCCAGAGCACCCGUCACUGGGCAACAGCUCUGCCAUUGAGGAUGCUGUCUCCUGCAUCUCAUUAAGCAGGUUGAGCAGGCUAUGAGGAUCAAGCCAGUCAGCAGUCAGCAGUGCUCCAGUCAGCAGUGCUCCUCCGUGGCCUCAGCUUCAGUUCCUGCCUUCCGAUUCCUGCCUUGACUUCCCUUCAUGACUGGUUGUGAUGGAACCUCUAAGCUGAAAUAAACCCUUUCUUCUCAAA